UUGACCUCAAAUCAGGUAGGACUACCCGCUGAACUUAAGCAUAUCAAUAAGCGGAGGAAAAGAAACUAACAAGGAUUCCCCUAGUAACUGCGAGUGAAGUGGGAAAAGCUCAAAUUUAAAAUCUGACAGUUGUUGACUGUCUGAGUUGUAACCUAGAGAAGUGCUACCUGUGCUGGACCAUGUAUAAGUCUCCUGGAAUGGAGUGUCAGAGAGGGUGAGAAUCCCGUCCUUGACAUGGACUGCCAGUGUAUUGUGGUGUGCUCUCAAAGAGUCGAGUUGUUUGGGAAUGCAGCUCUAAAUGGGUGGUAAAUUCCAUCUAAAGCUAAAUAUUGGCGAGAGACCGAUAGCGAACAAGUACCGUGAGGGAAAGAUGAAAAGAACUUUGGAAAGAGAGUUAAACAGUACGUGAAAUUGUUGAAAGGGAAACAUUUGAAGUCAGUUUUGUUAGCUGGGGAUCAACCUGGCUUUUCUGCUUGGGUGUAUUUCCUGGUUGACAGGCCAACAUCAGUUUUGACCAUUAGAAAAAGACCAAGGAAAUGUGGCACCUUUGGGUGUGUUUAUAGUCCUUGGUUGUAUGUGGUGGUUAGGACUGAGGCAUGCAGCACACUACAAGGCUGGGYUUUGCCACAUUUGUGCUUAGGAUGUUGGCAUAAUGGCUUUAAGUGACCCGUCUUGAAACACGGACCAAGGAGUCUAACAUGCCUGCAAGUGCUUGGGUGGAAAACCCAUGUGCAAAAUGAAAGUGAAAGUUGAGAUCCCUGUCAUAGGGAGCAUUG
rnacentral:rRNA from 1 species